rnacentral:ncRNA from 2 species
CAGUCCCCCAGGAUUUCAGGUCACUCCGGUGAUAAAUGGGAAGCUGGAAAGCCAGCGCUGCCCCCGCAACGGUAAAGUGUUACGCCCGUCGUCACACUAAGCCCGAUACCAGCCUGAAACCGCUUCGAUAC